GGUCAAGUGAAGAAGCGCAUACGGUGGAUGCCUUGGCAGUCAGAGGCGAUGAAAGACGUGGUAGCCUGCGAAAAGCUUCGGGGAGUCGGCAAACAGACUGUGAUCCGGAGAUGUCUGAAUGGGGGAACCCAGCCAUCACAAGAUGGUUAUCUUACACUGAAUACAUAGGUGUAAGAGGCGAACCAGGGGAACUGAAACAUCUAAGUACCCUGAGGAAAAGAAAUCAACCGAGAUUCCCUUAGUAGUGGCGAGCGAACGGGGACCAGCCCUUAAGUUGUAUUGAGAUUAGCGGAACGCUCUGGAAAGUGCGGCCAUAGUGGGUGAUAGCCCUGUACGCGAAAAUCCCUUUGCAAUGAAAUCGAGUAGGACGGGGCACGAGAAACCUUGUCUGAAUAUGGGGGGACCAUCCUCCAAGGCUAAAUACUACUGACUGACCGAUAGUGAACCAGUACCGUGAGGGAAAGGCGAAAAGAACCGCGGAGAGCGGAGUGAAAUAGAUCCUGAAACCGUAUGCGUACAAGCAGUGGGAGCCCACUUUGUUGGGUGACUGCGUACCUUUUGUAUAAUGGGUCAGCGACUUAUUUUCAGUGGCGAGCUUAACCGAAUAGGGGAGGCGUAGCGAAAGCGAGUCUUAAUAGGGCGUCUAGUCGCUGGGAAUAGACCCGAAACCGGGCGAUCUAUCCAUGGGCAGGUUGAAGGUUGGGUAACACUAACUGGAGGACCGAACCGACUACCGUUGAAAAGUUAGCGGAUGACCUGUGGAUCGGAGUGAAAGGCUAAUCAAGCUCGGAGAUAGCUGGUUCUCCUCGAAAGCUAUUUAGGUAGCGCCUCAUGUAUCACUGUAGGGGGUAGAGCACUGUUUCGGCUAGGGGGUCAUCCCGACUUACCAAACCGAUGCAAACUCCGAAUACCUACAAGUGCCGAGCAUGGGAGACACACGGCGGGUGCUAACGUCCGUCGUGAAAAGGGAAACAACCCAGACCGUCAGCUAAGGUCCCAAAGUCAUGGUUAAGUGGGAAACGAUGUGGGAAGGCUUAGACAGCUAGGAGGUUGGCUUAGAAGCAGCCACCCUUUAAAGAAAGCGUAAUAGCUCACUAGUCGAGUCGGCCUGCGCGGAAGAUGUAACGGGGCUCAAACCAUGCACCGAAGCUACGGGUAUCACCUUUGGUGAUGCGGUAGAGGAGCGUUCUGUAAGCCUGUGAAGGUGAGUUGAGAAGCUUGCUGGAGGUAUCAGAAGUGCGAAUGCUGACAUGAGUAACGACAAUGGGUGUGAAAAACACCCACGCCGAAAGACCAAGGUUUCCUGCGCAACGUUAAUCGACGCAGGGUUAGUCGGUCCCUAAGGCGAGGCUGAAAAGCGUAGUCGAUGGAAAACAGGUUAAUAUUCCUGUACUUCUGGUUAUUGCGAUGGAGGGACGGAGAAGGCUAGGCCAGCCUGGCGUUGGUAGUCCAGGUUUAAGGUGGUAGGCUGAGAUCUUAGGUAAAUCCGGGAUCUUAAGGCCGAGAGCUGAUGACGAGUGUUCUUUUAGAACAUGAAGUGGUUGAUGCCAUGCUUCCAAGAAAAGCUUCUAAGCUUCAGGUAACCAGGAACCGUACCCCAAACCGACACAGGUGGUUGGGUAGAGAAUACCAAGGCGCUUGAGAGAACUCGGGUGAAGGAACUAGGCAAAAUGGCACCGUAACUUCGGGAGAAGGUGCGCCGGUGAGGGUGAAGCAUUUACUGCGUAAGCCCACGCCGGUCGAAGAUACCAGGCCGCUGCGACUGUUUAUUAAAAACACAGCACUCUGCAAACACGAAAGUGGACGUAUAGGGUGUGACGCCUGCCCGGUGCCGGAAGGUUAAUUGAUGGGGUUAGCGCAAGCGAAGCUCUUGAUCGAAGCCCCGGUAAACGGCGGCCGUAACUAUAACGGUCCUAAGGUAGCGAAAUUCCUUGUCGGGUAAGUUCCGACCUGCACGAAUGGCGUAACGAUGGCGGCGCUGUCUCCACCCGAGACUCAGUGAAAUUGAAAUCGCUGUGAAGAUGCAGUGUAUCCGCGGCUAGACGGAAAGACCCCGUGAACCUUUACUAUAGCUUUGCACUGGACUUUGAAUUUGCUUGUGUAGGAUAGGUGGGAGGCUUUGAAGCGUGGACGCCAGUCUGCGUGGAGCCAACCUUGAAAUACCACCCUGGCAACUUUGAGGUUCUAACUCAGGUCCGUUAUCCGGAUCGAGGACAGUGUAUGGUGGGUAGUUUGACUGGGGCGGUCUCCUCCUAAAGAGUAACGGAGGAGUACGAAGGUGCGCUCAGACCGGUCGGAAAUCGGUCGUAGAGUAUAAAGGCAAAAGCGCGCUUGACUGCGAGACAGACACGUCGAGCAGGUACGAAAGUAGGUCUUAGUGAUCCGGUGGUUCUGUAUGGAAGGGCCAUCGCUCAACGGAUAAAAGGUACUCCGGGGAUAACAGGCUGAUACCGCCCAAGAGUUCAUAUCGACGGCGGUGUUUGGCACCUCGAUGUCGGCUCAUCACAUCCUGGGGCUGAAGCCGGUCCCAAGGGUAUGGCUGUUCGCCAUUUAAAGUGGUACGCGAGCUGGGUUUAGAACGUCGUGAGACAGUUCGGUCCCUAUCUGCCGUGGACGUUUGAGAUUUGAGAGGGGCUGCUCCUAGUACGAGAGGACCGGAGUGGACGAACCUCUGGUGUUCCGGUUGUCACGCCAGUGGCAUUGCCGGGUAGCUAUGUUCGGAAAAGAUAACCGCUGAAAGCAUCUAAGCGGGAAACUUGCCUCAAGAUGAGAUCUCACUGGAACCUAGAGUUCCCUGAAGGGCCGUCGAAGACUACGACGUUGAUAGGUUGGGUGUGUAAGCGCUGUGAGGCGUUGAGCUAACCAAUACUAAUUGCCCGUGAGGCUUGACCAU
rnacentral:rRNA from 1 species